UUGGUGGGCAUCCAUUACGAACACAGUCACGGACUCCUGUACAUAUGUUUCCAAUAAGAAGGUCACAAGUACACCUGCGGUUUUUACAUACUGUAUGUGUAUAUCCUCUGCAACCACGAGGAUCACAGUCUUCAGAUAUUUCAACACAACAAACGAAAAUGUGAAAUUUCACUCAAAUGAUCAAAUCAAUCAGUUUAUAACACUACCAGACAUCGGUUCUUGUAAACCGAAAUCGUCUGAAGCAACUGGAACCGAGCGGUUAUGUUGAUAUUCUUCAUCAUCAUCUUCUUGAUCUACUUCAUGUUCUGAUUCAGAGCAAUUAUCAAUCUCCUUCUCAGGUAUGUCGUGCUGUACACUCUCAGGUAGCUUUGUGUUCUGGUUCCCUAUAGACAUUUCCAAAUUCUCUCUUCUAACAACGUUCAACACUAUACCAUUGCUCGUUCUCGCUGGCUGUAGAAAAUCACCUUCAGUAACUGUUAUGCUUGAAGUGUUUGCAGCUGGAGAACUGGGGCUGCUACUAAAUCCUCUGGUCAAUGCAAUGUCGACAUCAAGACUCCGAACGAAAUCAAUGAACUUAUUAGCAGAAGCUGUUCUCAUCAAAGGUCCACCAGUUCUUGUCCAAGAACUCAACUCCACGCUCUCCGUUUCACUAUCACUCAAGUUCCUGCCCGAAGACGCGUGCAGAUUACUCUCAGCGACCAAGUCAUCAAGAGAACCAGUAGAGUUCUCUCUGGCAAUAACGUUCCAAGAAGGGAUUCUUUUAGAAGCAUUGAACCAAGUGGAGUAGUGGUUGAAGCCAAACCGUGAUGAGAGGAAGCUGCUCUCUCGGCGCUUCUCUUGAGCCUACGCAUAUGGUUGAGGACAGCUCCUCACUUUGUGUUGACUCGUUCAGUUUACAAGUGGAAACACACAAAACGGAGCUGUGUUCGGGAUUAUGAUAUAAAACAUUUUGUUGAGGAUACUUCUUUUUAUUAUAUAAGCUCUGAUAUGAUAAAAAUCUGGAGAAGAGAACAAACACUUACUUUUGGGCUUUGAUGUCUGUUUGAAGAUUUGUUGGCCGUUUGUUCGGCUCUGAUGUCUGUUUGCAGUAUUAUACGUAAGAUAUUGCGUAACACAUUAACUUGAUUCUUGUUGGCGGUUAACAGUGAUUUAACCUGGAACCGUGAUUAGAGAUAACCUGUGUGGAUUAAGUUGUCGAACAAAAUUGUUUGGAAAAAGUAAUUACUUUUAUAUUGUAUCAAAAGAUAGUAAUGGUAGCCAAAUCGAUACUAUUAUUUGCGAAGUAAAAUUUUGCAACGGAGCUCUCACAUUAAAAGUUAUAGCGGUUAAUAUUGUUUAUACCCUUAAUGAAUAAUUAUAUAAAUUAGUCAAAAAAUAAAAACGAAUUUCAAGUCUAUCUGAUUAAAAUCUAUACUAUUAUUUGCGAAGUAAAUUUUCGGAAUCGAGUUCUCACGUUUAAAGUUAAAGUGAUUAAAUUUUUUAUACCCUUAAUGAAUAAAAUGUAUAAAUAAAUUAAAAAAUAAAAACAAAAUUUUAAUUUAUUUGAUUAGAUAAUUGAUUAAAAUUAAUAAUAGUACGAAUUAUCCAAAAUCUGAAAAUAUAAUUGAUUAAAAUUAAUAAUAGUAAGAAUUAUCCAAUAUCUGAAAAUAUAAUUUAAAAAA